GUUGGGCGCAGUGGUGCACACCUGUAAUCCCAGUGGCUCUGGAGGCUGAGAUAGGAGGAUUGCAAGUUCCAGGCCAACGUCAGCAAUUUAGUGAGAACCUGUCUCAA
rnacentral:sRNA from 1 species